rnacentral:rRNA from 1 species
AACGAACGCUGGCGGCAUGCCUAACACAUGCAAGUCGAACGAGAUCUUCGGGUCUAGUGGCGCACGGGUGCGUAACGCGUGGGAAUCUGCCCUUUGGUUUGGAAUAACAGUUGGAAACGACUGCUAAUACCGGAUGAUGACGAAAGUCCAAAGAUUUAUCGCCAGAGGAUGAGCCCGCGUAGGAUUAGCUAGUUGGUGUGGUAAAGGCGCACCAAGGCGACGAUCCUUAGCUGGUCUGAGAGGAUGAUCAGCCACACUGGGACUGAGACACGGCCCAGACUCCUACGGGAGGCAGCAGUGGGGAAUAUUGGACAAUGGGCGAAAGCCCGAUCCUGCAAUGCCGCGUGAGUGAUGAAGGCCUUAGGGUUGUAAAGCUCUUUUACCCGGGAUGAUAAUGACAGUACCGGGAGAAUAAGCUCCGGCUAACUCCGUGCCAGCAGCCGCCGUAA